UUCGAUAACGAACGAGACCUCGACCUGCUAAAUAGUUCAGCAAAGGUUCUCCUUUGUGUGGACUUCUUAGAGGGACUAUCGGUGUGUAGCCGACGGAAGUUCGAGGCAGUAACAGGUCUGUGAUGCCCUUCGAUGUUCUGGGCCGCACGCGCGCUACACUGAUGCAUGCAUCAAGUAUACAACCUUGACUGACAGGUCUGGGUAAUCUUUGCAACAUGCAUCGUGCUGGGGAUAGAUGAUUGUAAUUAUUCAUCCUCAACGAGGAAUUCCUAGUAAACGCAAGUCAUCAACUUGCAUUGAUUACGUCCCUGCCCUUUGUUCACACCGCCCGUCGCUAAUACCGAUUGAAUGGCUCU
rnacentral:rRNA from 1 species